rnacentral:rRNA from 1 species
ACGCACACUGGCGGCGUGCUUAACACAUGCAAGUCGAACGGAAAGGCCCUGCUUUUGUGGGGUGCUCGAGUGGCGAACGGGUGAGUAACACGUGAGUAACCUGCCCUUGACUUUGGGAUAACUUCAGGAAACUGGGGCUAAUACCGGAUAGGAGCUCCUGCUGCAUGGUGGGGGUUGGAAAGUUUCGGCGGUUGGGGAUGGACUCGCGGCUUAUCAGCUUGUUGGUGGGGUAGUGGCUUACCAAGGCUUUGACGGGUAGCCGGCCUGAGAGGGUGACCGGCCACAUUGGGACUGAGAUACGGCCCAGACUCCUACGGGAGGCAGCAGUGGGGAAUAUUGCACAAUGGGCGGAAGCCUGAUGCAGCAACGCCGCGUGCGGGAUGACGGCCUUCGGGUUGUAAACCGCUUUCGCCUGUGACGAAGCGUGAGUGACGGUAAUGGGUAAAGAAGCACCGGCUAACUACGUG